rnacentral:lncRNA from 1 species
UUUUUUUUAUAGAGAUGAAGUCUUGCUACAUUGCCCAGGCUGGACUCGAACUCCUGGGCUCAAGCAAUCCUCAUGCCUCGGCCUCUCAAAAUGCUGGGAUUACAGGAGUGAGCCACUGCACUCAGCCAAGGGCUACACAUUUUUAACAAUAUAUGCAGGCUGCUGGCCCUGCUACAUUCCUGCAUUGGCCUUAGCUGAUCACCACUUUCUUCGAGGUCUGCACCUUGGCCGAGAGAGGAGCAGCGAAUUCCCUGUCCUCCCUCACCCUGCGUCCUGAGCCAUCUCCCAACUCCUCAAAGCCCCUGGAGACCAUGCUUCAACCAGACGCAGGCCAUUCUCCCCCAUUUCCAUUCUGAAACCACUCACUCCAGGCCUUUCUUCACCUUGGAGUCUUGGCCCAAUAAAAACUUUUCUCUUCUUUAAAUCUUUAUUUCCUGUCUCAGGAUUAACUUCUCCCGGAAGGAUCAGCAGUGGGAAUAUCUGUUCUUUCAGGGGAAACUCCACUUCCACCCUCAGUGGAAAAAAUCCCAAAGGGAGGGCGGAUUAUUCAGACUACAUACAACCACAACCACACACAACCACACAAAUACACACACAAUCAUACGCAUACACACAACCACAUACACACAACCACACACAUACACACACAACCACACACAUACACAACCACACACACACCACACACAACCACACACACAACCACAAACACACACACACACACAUAAACAUACAGACCACACACACCACACACAACCACACAUAUAACCACACACACACACAACCACACACACACAACCACACACAAUCACACAUACAACCACACACCCACACAACCACACACAAACAUACACAAUCACACACACCCACACAAAACCACACACACUACUACACAGGCACACACACAAAGACACACACACACAGGCAUAUCUUCUCUUUUACACACACGCUCUCUCACACACACACACUCUCUUCACACACACACACGCACACGAACACAGAAAAAGGAAGUGACUUCCACUCGGUGGUUAAUGACAGAGCUGCCACUGGAACACAGGUCUCCUGAUUGACUUUCUGGCCAAUCCUGGUUCCUUUGAUUGGGGCUGAAAUUCAUCCUCCGUUCAGGAACUUGC